UACGUAGGGGGCAAGCGUUGUCCGGAUUUAUUGGGCGUAAAGAGCGUGUAGGCGGUCAGGUAGGUCCGUUGUGAAAACUCGAGGCUCAACCUUGAGACGCCGAUGGAAACCAUCUGACUAGAGUCCGGAAGAGGAGAGUGGAAUUCCUGGUGUAGCGGUGAAAUGCGCAGAUAUCAGGAAGAACACCCGUGGCUAAGGCGGCUCUCUAGUACGGUACUGACGCUGAGACGCGAAAGCGUGGGGAGCGAACAGG
rnacentral:rRNA from 1 species